CCCCGUCUCAGCGCCGACGAGUUAUCCGGACCUUUGGGGAACGAUGUUGGCGCCCCCCUUGCAUACGGGUGACCUUGCGCCGGAAAUUGCCCUGAUGUGGGGGAUAACUCUUGGAAACGAUAGCUAAUACCGCAUGAUGCCUACGGGCCAAAGAGGGGGACCUUCGGGCCUCUCGCGUCAGGAUAUGCCUAGGUGGGAUUAGCUAGUUGGUGAGGUAAGGGCUCACCAAGGCGACGAUCCCUAGCUGGUCUGAGAGGAUGAUCAGCCACACUGGAACUGAGACACGGUCCAGACUCCUACGGGAGGCAGCAGUGGGGAAUAUUGCACAAUGGGCGCAAGCCUGAUGCAGCCAUGCCGCGUGUGUGAAGAAGGCCUUCGGGUUGUAAAGCACUUUCAGUCGUGAGGAAGGUAGUGUAGUUAAUAGCUGCAUUAUUUGACGUUAGCGACAGAAGAAGCACCGGCUAACUCCGUGCCAGCAGCCGCGGUAAUACGGAGGGUGCGAGCGUUAAUCGGAAUUACUGGGCGUAAAGCGCAUGCAGGUGGUUUGUUAAGUCAGAUGUGAAAGCCCGGGGCUCAACCUCGGAAUUGCAUUUGAAACUGGCAGACUAGAGUACUGUAGAGGGGGGUAGAAUUUCAGGUGUAGCGGUGAAAUGCGUAGAGAUCUGAAGGAAUACCGGUGGCGAAGGCGGCCCCCUGGACAGAUACUGACACUCAGAUGCGAAAGCGUGGGGAGCAAACAGGAUUAGAUACCCUGGUAGUCCACGCCGUAAACGAUGUCUACUUGGAGGUUGUGGCCUUGAGCCGUGGCUUUCGGAGCUAACGCGUUAAGUAGACCGCCUGGGGAGUACGGUCGCAAGAUUAAAACUCAAAUGAAUUGACGGGGGCCCGCACAAGCGGUGGAGCAUGUGGUUUAAUUCGAUGCAACGCGAAGAACCUUACCUACUCUUGACAUCCAGAGAACUUUCCAGAGAUGGAUUGGUGCCUUCGGGAACUCUGAGACAGGUGCUGCAUGGCUGUCGUCAGCUCGUGUUGUGAAAUGUUGGGUUAAGUCCCGCAACGAGCGCAACCCUUAUCCUUGUUUGCCAGCGAGUAAUGUCGGGAACUCCAGGGAGACUGCCGGUGAUAAACCGGAGGAAGGUGGGGACGACGUCAAGUCAUCAUGGCCCUUACGAGUAGGGCUACACACGUGCUACAAUGGCGCAUACAGAGGGCAGCCAACUUGCGAAAGUGAGCGAAUCCCAAAAAGUGCGUCGUAGUCCGGAUUGGAGUCUGCAACUCGACUCCAUGAAGUCGGAAUCGCUAGUAAUCGUGGAUCAGAAUGCCACGGUGAAUACGUUCCCGGGCCUUGUACACACCGCCCGUCACACCAUGGGAGUGGGCUGCAAAAGAAGUAGGUAGUUUAACCUUCGGGGGG
rnacentral:rRNA from 1 species